UCUUGCUGAUGGGCCCAUAUAGAGAGCUCCAAUUGCAACUGCAAUCCAACCUUCCAACCCAAAUGCAGUCAAAACUUUAUUCAUAUAUCCCCAUCCAAACCUGUUGAAGGCCUUUUCUGCAUCGAUCGACAGGGUCAGAAGGGGCGUCCCUGUUAAUUGUGCGUAUUCAAAUAAAUCUAUGAUUCUACUGGAAUUAUCACUGGAGUGUCGACC